AAAGGCCAUGGUGCAACAAUUGAUGUUAGUUGACUGAUCGGUUGGUGUUGUAUAUUUGCAUAUUUCUGACAUGGUUCACACCUUCGGACAAGUUCAGCUGCAUCUUUUUUCAUGGUAGGCCAAUAAUAUUCUUAUCGUAAGACUUUGUAAGCUCAAGAUUUACCCUCCAAGUGAUUUUCACAAAUCUUUUCGUAAACUUCUCUGAGUGCAUAGUCGGCAUCUGUCAGUCCCAAACACUUCAGUAAG
rnacentral:lncRNA from 1 species